GAUGAACGCUGGCGGCGUGCCUAAUACAUGCAAGUCGAGCGAACAGACGAGGAGCUUGCUCCUCUGACGUUAGCGGCGGACGGGUGAGUAACACGUGGAUAACCUACCUAUCAGACUGGGAUAACUUCGGGAAACCGGAGCUAAUACCGGAUAAUAUAUUGAACCGCAUGGUUCAAGAGUGAAAGACGGUUUUGCUGUCACUUAUAGAUGGAUCCGCGCCGCCUUAGCUAGUUGGGAAGGUAACGGCUUACCAAGGCAACGAUGCGUAGCCGACCUGAGCGGGUGGUCGCCCACACUGGAACUGAGACACGGUCCAGACGCCUACGGGAGGCAGCAGUAGGGAAUCUUCCGCAAUGGGCGAAAGCCUGACGGAGCAACGCCGCGUGAGUGAUGAAGGUCUUCGGAUCGUAAAACUCUGUUAUUAGGGAAGAACAAAUGUGUAAGUAACUAUGCACGUCUUGACGGUACCUAAUCAGAAAGCCCCGGCUAACUACGUG
rnacentral:rRNA from 1 species